CGUAAAAUACUUUGUGGGGAGCAUAAACAUUUUUGACUAUUCAUAUGAUAGUCCACUCCAAGGUAGCGUAAAUGCCAUGUUACAACUUAGCUUCUAACUAAAUCCUGCAUCGAGAUGAUGCAAGCCAUAUUAGUACUAUAACAACGCUUACUUAAAUCCUCUCGUCUGGAUUCAAAAUAAGCAGUUACCAAGACUACAGCGAAUCAGCUUCAAUCGCCAUUGAUCUUUAUUUCAUGAAAUGAUUGACAAAUUCCGUUUUUCUCCCCCAUUCUAUGGAAUGUGGAUUCAAUUGUUUCAGCAAUCUUUGCAUCAUCUGGAUCAGGCUCAGGUAAGGUCACAUGGACAGAUCCUUCUUUGCUUGGUGCUACAGCCUCUAAUGCUAGAGCUUGUUGCUUAGUAUAAUCAUAGAGUUGCUGAUGAAAAGCGUGAUCAAAGGAGAAACAGUUAUCAUUUGUACCAUUUCUACCAUGUUUAGAUGAACCCGAGCCUUCUCUUUUACAAAAGUGUGGUAGCGAUGCAUAAUCCAUUAUCUUCAACAGUUCAUCUUUUCCCGAGCCGGAGAGCACUUGGACUUUCUUUUUAGUUCUUUCUUGUAAAAGAGGUCUCACAACCUUCCAGCAGGCUGAGAAUAUGUAUGGAGCAUUAACAAUGUAAUAUGUAUCUGUCUUCUCAGGAUAAUUUAGGUCAUCAAUGGUAGAUAUAGCAGUUAAGAGCUUAAUUUGGUUUAGCGCAGAAAGCUUUAGACCAGUCAUGUCCAAAACCUUAACACAGGUCCCAAUAUACCGCCCAAAUUUCUUUGAUGCAGACGGCAAUAUUAUACGGUCACGGUAUUCAUUCAUUUGGAUAUGUGAUUGAAUAUAGUAGUGAAUCGAUGCUUUGUCGUAUGUGCUGAGGCCUACUCCAACAGCAACGACGGGAAGACCCUCUCUUGUAUAUCCAGACAUCCCCACAAGCUGAGUGUCCCUCACUCCUCUAUAAAAAUCAGUGGGUACAAUUGGCUUUGCAAGUAUCUGAUCGAUCUCAUUGUCUAUCCUCCAAUUUAAACAGUCAACAAGCAUCUUGUGUGCUUUAGACACACUGCCAUCUCUAGCUUUGAGAAACCUCACCAGUGUCUCGGUUCGAUACCCCUGAUAUACAUUCUGGAAAGUUUUCUGAAGUGGCUCAGCAAUUUCAUCCAUUGAAGUCUGCAAUUGCUUAAUCAUAUCUUCAGUUAUACACACCAUUCUUGAUCCCACUAUAAAUUUACCCAAAAAAGAUUCACACCCACCUCCUAAAAUUAUCAAAAAACCUCAAAAUCUUGCUUUUUCCCUAGAUUUUGGGUCUAAAGAGGAAGAGGGGUUGUUGUAUUUUGUGAAGAAAAAAAAAGCAACUUUUUCUUUAAGUUCUCAAUUUCCACUCUCCUCCCUCUUCCUCAUAGGACAGUGACUCAAGAAUUGAAGGUGCUGCUUCAUUGUCAGAUCU
rnacentral:misc_RNA from 1 species